UUGCACAAUGGGCGCAAGCCUGAUGCAGCGACGCCGCGUGAGGGAUGACGGCCUUCGGGUUGUAAACCUCUUUCAGUAGGGAAGAAGCGAAAGUGACGGUACCUGCAGAAGAAGCACCGGCUAACUACGUGCCAGCAGCCGCGGUAAUACGUAGGGUGCGAGCGUUAUCCGGAAUUAUUGGGCGUAAAGAGCUCGUAGGCGGUUUGUCGCGUCUGUCGUGAAAGUCCGGGG
rnacentral:rRNA from 1 species